AUUGAACGCUGGCGGCAGGCUUAACACAUGCAAGUCGAACGAGCGGCGGACGGGUGAGUAAUGUAUGGGGAUCUGUCUGAUGGAGGGGGAUAACUACUGGAAACGGUAGCUAAUACCGCAUACCAUCAGAUGAACCCAUAUGGGAUUAGCUGGUAGGUAAGGUAACGGCUUACCUAGGCGACGAUCCCUAGCUGGUCUGAGAGGAUGAUCAGCCACACUGGGACUGAGACACGGCCCAGACUCCUACGGGAGGGAGCAGUGGGGAAUAUUGCAAAAUGGGCGCAAGCCUGAUGCAGCCAUGCCGCGUGUAUGAAGAAGGCCGUAGGGUUGUAAAGUACUUUCAGUCGGGAGGCGUUACCGACAGAAGAAGCACCGGCUAACUCCGUGCCAGCAGCCGCGGUAAUUC
rnacentral:rRNA from 1 species